UGCGGGGUGGUGUAGUGGUAACAUACGAGUUUCGUCCUCUCGUGCCGCAAGUUCGAUUCUUGCUCCCGCAUCCA
rnacentral:tRNA from 2 species